rnacentral:tRNA from 1 species
GCCUCAUUGGCUCAGAGGCGGAGCGUCUAUCUAGUAAACAGAAAGUCACUGGUUCGAUUCCAGAAUAAGGCA